rnacentral:rRNA from 1 species
CAGCACCUCAAGUGGUCAGGAUGAUUAUUGGGCCUAAAGCAUCCGUAGCCGGCUCUGUAAGUUUUCGGUUAAAUCUGUACGCUCAACGUACAGGCUGCCGGGAAUACUGCAGAGCUAAGGAGUGGGAGAGGUAGACGGUACUCGGUAGGAAGGGGUAAAAUCCUUUGAUCUAUUGAUGACCACCUGUGGCGAAGGCGGUCUACCAGAACACGUCCGACGGUGAGGGAUGAAAGCUGGGGGAGCAAACCGGAUUAGAUACCCGAGUAGUCC